rnacentral:rRNA from 1 species
AGGGCUACACACGUGCUACAAUGGCCGGUACAGAGGGUUGCCAAGCCGCGAGGUGGAGCCAAUCCCAGAAAGCCGAUCGUAGUCCGGAUUGUUCUCUGCAACUCGAGAGCAUGAAGUCGGAAUCGCUAGUAAUCGCGGAUCAGCAUGUCGCGGUGAAUACGUUCCCGGGUCUU